rnacentral:rRNA from 1 species
UUAAGCGACUAAGCGUACACGGUGGAUGCCCUGGCAGUCAGAGGCGAUGAAGGACGUGCUAAUCUGCGAUAAGCGUCGGUAAGGUGAUAUGAACCGUUAUAACCGGCGAUUUCCGAAUGGGGAAACCCAGUGUGUUUCGACACACUAUCAUUAACUGAAUCCAUAGGUUAAUGAGGCGAACCGGGGGAACUGAAACAUCUAAGUACCCCGAGGAAAAGAAAUCAACCGAGAUUCCCCCAGUAGCGGCGAGCGAACGGGGAGCAGCCCAGAGCCUGAAUCAGUGUGUGUGUUAGUGGAAGCGUCUGGAAAGGCGCGCGAUACAGGGUGACAGCCCCGUACACAAAAAUGCACAUACUGUGAGCUCGAUGAGUAGGGCGGGACACGUGGUAUCCUGUCUGAAUAUGGGGGGACCAUCCUCCAAGGCUAAAUACUCCUGACUGACCGAUAGUGAACCAGUACCGUGAGGGAAAGGCGAAAAGAACCCCGGCGAGGGGAGUGAAAAAGAACCUGAAACCGUGUACGUACAAGCAGUGGGAGCACGCUUAGGCGUGUGACUGCGUACCUUUUGUAUAAUGGGUCAGCGACUUAUAUUCUGUAGCAAGGUUAACCGAAUAGGGGAGCCGAAGGGAAACCGAGUCUUAACUGGGCGUUAAGUUGCAGGGUAUAGACCCGAAACCCGGUGAUCUAGCCAUGGGCAGGUUGAAGGUUGGGUAACACUAACUGGAGGACCGAACCGACUAAUGUUGAAAAAUUAGCGGAUGACUUGUGGCUGGGGGUGAAAGGCCAAUCAAACCGGGAGAUAGCUGGUUCUCCCCGAAAGCUAUUUAGGUAGCGCCUCGUGAAUUCAUCUCCGGGGGUAGAGCACUGUUUCGGCAAGGGGGUCAUCCCGACUUACCAACCCGAUGCAAACUGCGAAUACCGGAGAAUGUUAUCACGGGAGACACACGGCGGGUGCUAACGUCCGUCGUGAAGAGGGAAACAACCCAGACCGCCAGCUAAGGUCCCAAAGUCAUGGUUAAGUGGGAAACGAUGUGGGAAGGCCCAGACAGCCAGGAUGUUGGCUUAGAAGCAGCCAUCAUUUAAAGAAAGCGUAAUAGCUCACUGGUCGAGUCGGCCUGCGCGGAAGAUGUAACGGGGCUAAACCAUGCACCGAAGCUGCGGCAGCGACGCUGAUGCGUUGUUGGGUAGGGGAGCGUUCUGUAAGCCUGCGAAGGUGUGCUGUGAGGCAUGCUGGAGGUAUCAGAAGUGCGAAUGCUGACAUAAGUAACGAUAAAGCGGGUGAAAAGCCCGCUCGCCGGAAGACCAAGGGUUCCUGUCCAACGUUAAUCGGGGCAGGGUGAGUCGACCCCUAAGGCGAGGCCGAAAGGCGUAGUCGAUGGGAAACAGGUUAAUAUUCCUGUACUUGGUGUUACUGCGAAGGGGGGACGGAGAAGGCUAUGUUGGCCGGGCGACGGUUGUCCCGGUUUAAGCGUGUAGGCUGGUUUUCCAGGCAAAUCCGGAAAAUCAAGGCUGAGGCGUGAUGACGAGGCACUACGGUGCUGAAGCAACAAAUGCCCUGCUUCCAGGAAAAGCCUCUAAGCAUCAGGUAACAUCAAAUCGUACCCCAAACCGACACAGGUGGUCAGGUAGAGAAUACCAAGGCGCUUGAGAGAACUCGGGUGAAGGAACUAGGCAAAAUGGUGCCGUAACUUCGGGAGAAGGCACGCUGAUAUGUAGGUGAAGUCCCUCGCGGAUGGAGCUGAAAUCAGUCGAAGAUACCAGCUGGCUGCAACUGUUUAUUAAAAACACAGCACUGUGCAAACACGAAAGUGGACGUAUACGGUGUGACGCCUGCCCGGUGCCGGAAGGUUAAUUGAUGGGGUUAGCGCAAGCGAAGCUCUUGAUCGAAGCCCCGGUAAACGGCGGCCGUAACUAUAACGGUCCUAAGGUAGCGAAAUUCCUUGUCGGGUAAGUUCCGACCUGCACGAAUGGCGUAAUGAUGGCCAGGCUGUCUCCACCCGAGACUCAGUGAAAUUGAACUCGCUGUGAAGAUGCAGUGUACCCGCGGCAAGACGGAAAGACCCCGUGAACCUUUACUAUAGCUUGACACUGAACAUUGAGCCUUGAUGUGUAGGAUAGGUGGGAGGCUUUGAAGUGUGGACGCCAGUCUGCAUGGAGCCGACCUUGAAAUACCACCCUUUAAUGUUUGAUGUUCUAACGUGGACCCGUAAUCCGGGUUGCGGACAGUGUCUGGUGGGUAGUUUGACUGGGGCGGUCUCCUCCUAAAGAGUAACGGAGGAGCACGAAGGUUGGCUAAUCCUGGUCGGACAUCAGGAGGUUAGUGCAAUGGCAUAAGCCAGCUUGACUGCGAGCGUGACGGCGCGAGCAGGUGCGAAAGCAGGUCAUAGUGAUCCGGUGGUUCUGAAUGGAAGGGCCAUCGCUCAACGGAUAAAAGGUACUCCGGGGAUAACAGGCUGAUACCGCCCAAGAGUUCAUAUCGACGGCGGUGUUUGGCACCUCGAUGUCGGCUCAUCACAUCCUGGGGCUGAAGUAGGUCCCAAGGGUAUGGCUGUUCGCCAUUUAAAGUGGUACGCGAGCUGGGUUUAGAACGUCGUGAGACAGUUCGGUCCCUAUCUGCCGUGGGCGCUGGAGAAUUGAGGGGGGCUGCUCCUAGUACGAGAGGACCGGAGUGGACGCAUCACUGGUGUUCGGGUUGUCAUGCCAAUGGCACUGCCCGGUAGCUAAAUGCGGAAGAGAUAAGUGCUGAAAGCAUCUAAGCACGAAACUUGCCCCGAGAUGAGUUCUCCCUGACUCCUUGAGAGUCCUGAAGGAACGUUGAAGACGACGACGUUGAUAGGCCGGGUGUGUAAGCGCAGCGAUGCGUUGAGCUAACCGGUACUAAUGAACCGUGAGGCUUAACCUU